UCUCCAUUUUCCUGUGCCUUUGUGCU
rnacentral:piRNA from 1 species